CCCCCCCCCCGUGGAAGUGGAGAAGCCCCUUUUUGGGGGGGGGAGGGAAUAGGCCCUCCUGGGAUGGGGGAGGGGACGGAAGCCCCCUCACGGGUGGGAUGAGAAAGACCCACUUUGGAUUGGGGAGGAGAGAGUGGGACCCCUUUGGGUUGCGGGUGGGGAAAGGAGAGACCCCCCUCUCCAACAGCAGCUGGGGGUGGCAGCAUCCCCCUCACACGUUUCUGGGGUGAUCGCUCCUCCACGCUGGCGUUUCAGGUCCCCUCCUCCCCCAGGCCACAGGCGAAGUGGCCGGGGGGGGGCGGGGGUUUCUCCCGGGUUUUGGGGGGUCUCCAAGCGUGGGUGUCCGAGUCCAGUUGGGGACCUCGUGGGACCUCAAAGUCCCGAGUCCCAAACUACACCAUGGCGCCGCUCCGACGGGGCGCGACACUGGGUUAACAAGGACGUGUCCUGCCGGGUGAUUCCCAUGUGGAUCCAACCUCCUGUGUGUCCCAUCGUCCCCCGUGUGUGUCCACGACUGGCUCCUGGGCGAUACUACGUCCGUGAGGGUGCACCUCACGCCCCCAUGUCCGGCUCUCUCUUCCAGCCCUGUCCCGUGUGUGUGUCCCUCCACCCCUCGCCAUGUACGCGUGUGCAAAGUUCGUCUCCGCUCCUGCACUAGUGAGGAAGAGCUCGCGGGUGCUGUGCCGGCCCCUCUCUGCCUCCGUGCUGAGCAGCCCUGAGGCCCGGACAGAGCAGGCCCGGCAGGGCGCCCAGAGCCAGCCUGCCUGCCGGGGCCUCCAGACCAGCACGGGCAAAGCAGGGGGGGUCGGGGGCCCUCUGUGCCCUCCUGACCACUGUCUCCUUUCCCCGCAGGAACCCGUCCCUCAAACAGCAGCUUUUCUCCUACGCCAUCCUGGGCUUUGCCCUCUCCGAGGCCAUGGGGCUGUUCUGCCUCAUGGUGGCCUUCCUCAUCCUCUUCGCCAUGUGACAGAGCUGGUGCCCACACUUGUCAGGUCCCAAGUGCAGCCGUGAAUGUCUGGCGUGGGGCAGGGGAGAGCCCCGCUCCAAACCCUGUCACCCCGCUGUCAGGAAGUGAAUAAAUACGGUUUGAAAACGGGUUCUCGUCUCCUC
rnacentral:lncRNA from 1 species